rnacentral:rRNA from 1 species
AUUGAACGCUGGCGGCAGGCCUAACACAUGCAAGUCGAACGAGUGGCGGACGGGUGAGUAAUGUCUGGGAAACUGCCCGAUGGAGGGGGAUAACUACUGGAAACGGUAGCUAAUACCGCAUACCAUCGGAUGUGCCCAGAUGGGAUUAGCUAGUAGGUGGGGUAACGGCUCACCUAGGCGACGAUCCCUAGCUGGUCUGAGAGGAUGACCAGGCCAACUGGAACGGAGACACGGUCCAUACUCCUACGGGAGGCAGCAGUGGGGAAUAUGGCACAAGGGGCGCAAGCCUGAUGCAGCGAUGCCGGGUAUAUGAAGAAGGCCUUCGGGUGGUAAAGUACUUUCAGCGGGGAGGCGUUACUAGCAGAAGAAGCGCCGGCUAACUCCGUGCCAGCAGCCGCGGUAAUAC